GCGUGAGUGAUGAAGGCCCUAGGGUUGUAAAGCUCUUUUACCAGGGAUGAUAAUGACAGUACCUGGAGAAUAAGCUCCGGCUAACUCCGUGCCAGCAGCCGCGGUAAUACGGAGGGAGCUAGCGUUGUUCGGAAUUACUGGGCGUAAAGCGCGCGUAGGCGGUCCAUCAAGUCAGAGGUGAAAGCCCGGGGCUCAACCCCGGAACUGCCUUUGAAACUGGCGGACUAGAAUCUUGGAGAGGCGAGUGGAAUUCCGAGUGUAGAGGUGAAAUUCGU
rnacentral:rRNA from 1 species